rnacentral:tRNA from 1 species
GCCCCCGUAGCUCAACUGGAUAGAGUACCUGGCUUCGAACCAGGGUGUUGGGUGUUCAAGUCACCCCGGGGGCG